UUGCCGUAACAUCUACUUACAUACNNNNAGCGCCCGGGAUAUUACGAGCUUAAGCUUAAAACCCAAAGGACUUGACGGUGUCCCACCCACCUAGAGGAGCCUGUUCUAUAAUCGAUACUCCCCGCUUCACCUCACCAUUUCUAGCCUCUCAGCCUGUAUACCUCCGUCGCAAGCUUACCAUGUGAACGCUAUUAGUAAGCCCAAAGGUUUUCUCACCAACACGUCAGGUCANGGUGCAGCUUAUGAAAUGGGAAGCAAUGGGCUACAAUUUCUAAUACAGAACAAACGAAAGACUACAUGAAACACAGUCAUGAAGGCGGAUUUAGUAGUAAAAAGAAAAUAGUGCGUUCUUUUUAACUAGGCACUGGGACGCGU
rnacentral:rRNA from 1 species